AAUUUACCUCACUCUGCCUCUGCAUGUCUGCAUAUUGGUUCUCCAUUCAAUAUUUAGUCUGCAUGUCUUGCAGAUUACGACAGUUAAAUGCAACCACAGUUUCCUGAACAAGAGGACUGAUAUCUGGUUACUUACCAUGUGACUUGUUUCACAGAAGGGGCUCUGAAAACAACCUAACAUUAUGCACAGCAUCAUUUUGGAGUCUUUGCAGUUAUAUUUCUAUAUUGACCUCACUUGCAAAUUGCAUAAUUUUAACAGAAAAUAUAUUGGAUGUUGUUGUUCGACUUAUUUUUAUUUAUUUAUUUUUUUUAGUGUUGCCUUGCUUAACUUCUUGAACUGCUGCUAUAUCAGCCUAUAGCAUCUCUUGCUCUCACGCUCAGUGCACAACCUGUAUCUUGGUUUAGUUGUUCAGGCCAAAAUAAAAAAAAAGUGGUGAUUGUUUUCAUAUUGCAGCAUGUGGGGAAAGAAAAAGGUUGCCUAACUGAUUUUGUUUUUUCAUGACAUGACAAGACAUGAUAAGGUUUUUGUAAGGCGGCGUCUCUUCUUGUUUUUUUAAUCUCCAAAAACAUCACAGCUUUUUCGUCACAGUGAAAUUUAACAGAAGACAUGACAACUGAUGCUUACGAAAAUUAAAAAUGGCAAACAACAUGACAACUAAUGAUGGAGUGAGUGAUCCUACACAUUAUAUUUGUGAGGAUAACGUUCCAAUUUUUACCGGGACUUUCUUCAUCUUAAUCUUCAUCCUCAGUGUCAUAGGCAACAGUCUCCUCUUAUGUGUUCUUUUCAUCUACGAGGACCUGAAAAGUAUCACAAAUAUUUUCAUCCUGAACCUGGCCUGCUCUGAUUUGAUCUUCACCAUCACACUUCCAUUCUGGGCCGUUGAUCACCUACACCACUGGAUCUUUGGGGACUUUGUCUGCAAAUUCGUGACUGCCACAUUCUUUGUUGGUUUGUACAGCAGUGUCAUUUUACUGACUGCCAUGACAGUUGCCCGUUUCAUUAGUGUGGUGCUGCCAACCUGGAAAAGUAACCGUGCUAGAAGAAAGAAGUGUGCAAUCGGUGCCUGUGUAGCUGCCUGGAUCAUCAGCAUCUCAGCAUCCCUGAGUGAUGCUGUGAAAGUACAGGUUGAACACUGGUAUGAUAAAAACUAUUGCUACAAUAAAUCUGAUGAAAACCUUGGACGUUAUCUCCAAGUGUCACUGCUAUUCUUCCUCCCAUUUGCCAUCAUUAUUUUCUGCUAUUCUGCCAUCCUCAAGACGGUUUUGCAAGGUUUAAAUAGAAAUAAGCAAAAGACUGUAGCUGUGCUGUUGUGUAUUGUUGCAGCCUUUUUCAUUUGCUGGGGGCCAUACCAUAUUAUGCUUUUAAUUAAAUCUCUUGAUAAACCCAAAGAUUGUAAGGCAAAGGAACGGUUAGCAGUUGCCUACCAUAUUUGUGAAAUGCUUGCCUAUUUUCACUGCUGUAUGAACCCACUGCUAUAUAUGCUCUCAAAGAAGGUGCGAAAGCAUCUGUUGAAUCUUAUGCACUGUGAAAAUGUGCGCAGGAAGAACAGAGAGAGAGACACCAGGCAGGAUGUGGCUUUCACUGCCCAGAGAUCUCCUGACAGUCCACAUAGUCAGUCGUUAAAUUAAGCAUUGAUUCAGUUUGUAAAUGUAAAAGUAGAGACUCUAUUUCUUUACUUUUACACAUGCACAUAUUUAUAUGUAUAUGUAUAUAUAUAUGGUAAAUGGUAAAUGGCCUGUAUUUGUAUAGCGCUUUACUUAGUCCCUAAGGACCCCAAAGCGUGUCUUUAUGAUUGGUUUUAUUCUGAUUUUAGUGUUUACUUGUAAGUGUAGUUUUGAUUUUAUUUGCAUGAUUUUAUUCUGAUAUUUGUAUUGCCUUUUUCUAGUUGUUUGUUUAUAUAACGUCAUUAUAAUGCACUGUGGGCUGGCUGGACAUGGGACCUGUCCAGCCCUGAGGUGGCCUAUCAGCUAGUGAAACGACCUAAAGCUGACUGAGCACUGAAAGAGGGCCCAGGUAUGAAGAGAAAGGAGCGUGUAGGAAACAGGCAUGGGAGAGAAGGACAUGCUGCCUGAUCACCAGGUGAAAACGGCUUGUGAAAGGACGGGCAGAGCGGCGCGACGCCGCGUCCCAUUUUCCGGCGACAGAUACGGCGUCCAGUGGGGUAAAAACCGCAUGUGAUCAACAGCAGGGCAGAGGUGAACCUCUGUGAUUAACCUGCAGGAUUAACCUGAGUGUCCCAGUCCUGGACAAGUUUUUUAAUAUUGAGGACAUGAGGCCUGAUUGUCGCCUUAGCAGGGAGUCUACUGAGUCUACUUAACCAGGAUCGGAGACAUGGUUGAGGUGCCACAAUUGAGGUCUUUUUGUUUCUUUUGUGGCUGGCAAGUGAAGCACCCUACAGAGUUGUUUCCAGAGUUUUCGCAAUACCUCGUUCCACUGUUUACCGCAUUAUCCACAGGGUCACAGAGGUGGUAGCCCUUCACCAUCAGGUCAUCCACCUCCCUCCGACCCCUGAAGAUCUAGAAGCCGUGUCUCAUGGGUUUGCAGGGCUGGCAAGACACGGAGCCGUUUUGAAAGCUGCUGGUGCAAUUGACUGCUGCCAUGGUCGCAUCAAGCCUCCCAGCGGCCCUGACGGUCAGUGCUACAGUAACAGGAAAUUGUUCCCCUCCAUAAUCCUGCAGGCAGUUUGUGACCAUCAGGGCCGCUUCAUACAUAUGAGGGCUGGGCGGGGUUAGUGCAGGACUCCAGGGUGCUCUGCAACAGCCCACUGUACCGGCAGGCCAUUUACCCUCCUCCAGGGUAUUUCGUCCUAGCAGAUGGAGGGCACCCAUGUCUCCAAGAUUCACUGCCCCUCAUCACUCCCUACAAGAGGCCAAUCCAAGGUGUGGGAGCCCAGCGCUUCAACUCAUCAUUCCAGGGCAUGCUCUAUUAGAGUGUGCUUUUGGAAUGACAAAGACGAGGUUCUGUGCCAUUUUCCUCUAAGCGCUGGAGGUACACCACACCCUUGUACCACAUGUCAUAACAGCAUGUGCUGUCCUGCAUAAUAUCUGCCUCGGUGCUGGUGACAUUGUGGCCCCGGACGAUGAGCCGGAGCAUGAUGUGCAAGAUGAGUGGGUGUGGGUGCUGAGGUGUCUUCCCUGGAUGAGGAUUGUUUGCACUACUUUCGUCUUGCAUCGUUGUGAGUACAUUUUAGUGACAUGGCAGCCGUCUUUUCCAUCAGCCCUGUAAACGCAAGUGAUAAGAUGAUGCGGUGGACAGUGGAAUCGAGCAUCCCUGAACACCUUCUGGUGACCACCCUGUAUGAUGCUCCACUCAGUAGCUGGCACCUCCUUCAUCUCUUUGGAUUCAGCAGCACUGGCUGAGACUUCCUGCUCAGCCAAAAAUCGGGCCCGCUUAAAAGUGCCUGUGCAUACUGGGACAGUCGGGUUAAUCCUGGACUUUAAUGAUAAGUUGAUUACUGUUAAAGGAUUUUUUAUAUGUAUUUUGCUCUAUUGUAGUUAAAAAUCUCUAGUUGUUUAGCUUCAUUUAAAACUCCUGCAUACAUUGUGUUUUGACAAAAGCUUGCAUGAGGAAACUGCCACAGGAAACCUCACCCUUGCUGAGUUUGCUGAGAUAAGCUUGACCAGUUCCUCUUGUGACAGUUUGAACAUAUAUGUUUUAUGCUUAUCACCUUGGAAGGAGUUGUUUUGUACUCACAAGGGGUGGUGCCCUGAAAUGUGCUACGUAAGAGCUGUCUAUAAAUAAAGAGAGAACCGAUGUCUCGGCGCGUGUCUCUGUGGAGACAUUGCCCAUGUAGAUCUA